rnacentral:rRNA from 1 species
GACGAACGCUGGCGGCGUGCUUAACACAUGCAAGUCGAACGUGAUUUUUGUGGAAAUUCUUUCGGGAAUGGAAAUGAAAUGAAAGUGGCGAACGGGUGAGUAACACGUGAGCAACCUACCUUACACAGGGGGAUAGCCGUUGGAAACGACGAUUAAUACCGCAUGAGACCACAGAAUCGCAUGAUAUAGGGGCCAAAGAUUUAUCGGUGUAGGAAGGGCUCGCGUCUGAUUAGCUAGUUGGAAGGGUAAAGGCCUACCAAGGCGACGAUCAGUAGCCGGUCUGAGAGGAUGAACGGCCACAUUGGAACUGAGACACGGUCCAAACUCCUACGGGAGGCAGCAGUGGGGAAUAUUGCACAAUGGGGGGAACCCUGAUGCAGCGACGCCGCGUGAGCGAAGAAGGUUUUCGAAUCGUAAAGCUCUGUCCUAUGAGAAGAUAAUGACGGUAUCAUAGGAGGAAGCCCCGGCUAAAUACGUG